UACGUAGGCAGCAAGCGUUGUUCGGAGUUACUGGGCGUAAAGGGUGUGUAGGCGGUUCUUUAAGUUUGGUGUGAAAUCUCCCGGCUCAACCGGGAGGGUGCGCCGAAUACUGAGGGACUAGAGUACGGGAGAGGAAAGUGGAAUUCCUGGUGUAGCGGUGAAAUGCGCAGAUAUCAGGAAGAACACCGAUGGCGAAGGCAGUUCUCUGGGACGGUACUGACGCUGAGACGCGAAAGCGUGGGGAGCGAACAGG
rnacentral:rRNA from 1 species